rnacentral:rRNA from 1 species
GUGAGGAAUAUUGCGCAAUGGACGAAAGUCUGACGCAGCCAUGCCGCGUGAAGGAUUGACGGCCCUAUGGGUUGUAAACUUCUUUUGUAUAGGAAUAAACCCUCGUUCGUGAACGAGGCUGAAGGUACUAUAAGAAUAAGCACCGGCUAACUCCGUGCCAGCAGCCGCGGUAAUACGGAGGGUGCAAGCGUUAUCCGGAUUUAUUGGGUUUAAAGGGUCCGUAGGCGGAUCGUUAAGUCAGUGGUGAAAUCCUACCGCUCAACGGCAGAACUGCCAUUGAUACUGGCGAUCUUGAGUAUGUAUGAAGUUGGCGGAAUGUGUGGUGUAGCGGUGAAAUGCUUAGAUAUCACACAGAACACCGAUUGCGAAGGCAGCUGACUAAUACACAACUGACGCUGAGGGACGAAAGUGUGGGGAUCAAACAGGAUUAGAUACCCUUGUAGUCC